CCUCCUUUCUUCCGCCGUGCGGAAUAUUGGUCAAUGGGCGCGAGCCUGAACCAGCCAAGUAGCGUGAAGGAUGACUGCCCUACGGGUUGUAAACUUCUUUUAUAAAGGAAUAAAGUGAGGCACGUGUGCCUUUUUGUAUGUACUUUAUGAAUAAGGAUCGGCUAACUCCGUGCCAGCAGCCGCGGUAAUACGGAGGAUCCGAGCGUUAUCCGGAUUUAUUGGGUUUAAAGGGAGCGUAGAUGGGUUGUUAAGUCAGUUGUGACAGUUUGCGGCUCAACCGUAAAAUUGCAAUUGAUACUGGCAGCCUUGAGUACAGUUGAGGUAGGCGGAAUUCGUGGUGUAGCGGUGAAAUGCUUAGAUAUCACGAAGAACUCCGAUUGCGAAGGCAGCUUACUAAACUGCCACUGACAUUGAUGCUCGAAAGUGUGGGUAUCAAACAGGAUUAGAUACCCAGUAGUC
rnacentral:rRNA from 1 species